rnacentral:rRNA from 1 species
UCAACUAUUAGGCUUCGGGGGAGUACUGCCAGACUGGAACCGGGAGAGGUAAGAGGUACUACAGGGGUAGGAGUGAAAUCUUGUAAGUCCCUCGUGGGACCACCUGUGGCGAAGGCGUCUUACCAGAACGGGUUCGACGGUGAGGGACGAAAGCUGGGGGCACGAACCGGAUUAGAUACCCGGGUAGUCCCAGCCGUAAACGAUGCUCGCUAGGUGUCAGGCAUGGCGCGACCGUGUCUGGUGCCGCAGGGAAGCCGUGAAGCGAGCCACCUGGGAAGUACGGCCGCAAGGCUGAAGCUUAAAGGAAUUGGCGGGGGAGCACAACAACGGGGUUGGAGCCUGCGGUUUAAUUGGACUCAACGCCGGACAACUCACCGGGGGCGACAGCAAUAUGUAGGCCAAGCUGAAGACUUUGCCUGAAUCGCUGAGUAGUGGUGCAUGG